AUGGCUGACCACAAAAUAUUUAAAAGAAUAAUGUACAUAAUUCGUGUUUUCAAAAAAGUAAUUAUUUUACUCGACAAAAUAAUAUCCGUGUGUUUUUCAAAAACCGCGCGCAUUUUUCAGUCAGUCACGUCACGUGCACUCCGCUCAUCCACACUGGCUCACUCACUCGCUGAUGGGAUCACAGCAGGAUUAACGUUAUUCGCGAGACACGACGCGGUCAUGGUAAAAAAUACAGUGCAAAGGCAGAGAGUGAAGGUGUGGUGGUAUUGGCAGCAGGAAGGCUGCAUAAUAUGGGUCUGAAAUGAAGUACCGGUAAGUACUAUUCACAUUAAACAAAUUGAUGGGCUUUAGUGUUGUACCAGAUGAAAUUUGUCACGUUAAAAACAGUUAUUUAAAUACAUCGUAGUUUUGUUUUUAUUUUUUGAUGAUUUGCUAUUAAUGCAGAUGUAAUGGUGACCAGAAAUGACCAGCAGCACAAAUGUUAAGUCUUCUGAAGCAAUUCUAUACUUUUGUUUUAUAAGUUCUAUAUUUCUAAUCCAAUUGCAUAUUAGAUUAAUCAAAUCAUUAAUACACAGAUGAAAAAUAACAAACCCCAACUAAAGUCCAACAAGAAUGACAUCAUGACAUCUAAGAACCAGUCAUGUUUGAUUCAGAUUAGGGCUUGGCGAUAUAUGAAAAAAUCUUGAUAUUGGCAAAUUUUUUAUAAUAUUC
rnacentral:lncRNA from 1 species